AGCGGCUUGGUUAAGUGGUAUAACGUUCGCCUCCAAAGCGAAAAUUGAGAGUUCGAUUCUUUCAGCCGCUG
rnacentral:tRNA from 2 species